rnacentral:rRNA from 1 species
GGUUGGGGGUGCUAUAAUGCAGUCGAACGGGGAGAUUGUAGCAAUACUAUCUCCUAGUGGCGAACGGGUGAGUAACGCGUUGGUGACCUACCCCGAAGUGUGGGAUAACAGUUCGAAAGGACUGCUAAUACCGCAUGUGGUUGGGAAGAUUAGAAGCUUUCCAACGAAAAGAGCAAUCUGCUUCGGGAGGGGCCUGCGACCCAUCAGCUAGUUGGUAGGGUAAAAGCCUACCAAGGCGACGACGGGUAGGGGACCUGAGAGGGUGACCCCCCACACUGGCACUGAAACACGGGCCAGACACCUACGGGUGGCAGCAGUAGGGAAUAUUGCACAAUGGGCGCAAGCCUGAUGCAGCAACGCCGCGUGCGCGAUGAAGGCCUUCGGGUCGUAAAGCGCUUUUCUGGAGGAAGAGCAAGGACGGUACUCCAGGAAGAAGGAUCGGCUAACUACGUGCCAGCAGCCGCGGUAACACGUAGGAUCCGAGCGUUAUCCGAAUUUACUGGGCGUAAAGCGCGUGCAGGCGGUUUGGUAAGUUGGACGUGAAAUCUCCCGGCUCAACUGGGAGGGGUCGUUCAAGACUGCCAGACUAGAGGGCAGUAGAGGGAGGUGGAAUUCCCGGUGUAGUGGUGAAAUGCGUAGAUAUCGGGAGGAACACCAGUGGCGAAAGCGGCCUCCUGGGCUGCACCUGACGCUCAGACGCGAAAGCUAGGGGAGCGAACGGGAUUAGAUACCCCGGUAGUCCUAGCUGUAAACGAUGUGGACUUGGCGUCGGUGGGUUCAAAUCCGCCGGUGCCGUAGCUAACGCGCUAAGUCCACCGCCUGGGGACUACGGCCGCAAGGUUAAAACUCAAAGGAAUUGACGG